GAGUGAUCGAAAGAUGAAAAGCACUUUGAAAAGAGGGUUAAAUAGUACGUGAAAUUGUUGAAAGGGAAGCGCUCUUGACCAGACUUGCGCCGGUUGAUCAUCCACCGUUCUCGGUGGUGCACUCUGCCGGCUCAGGCCAGCAUCAGUUCGGCUUGGGGGAUAAAGGCUUCGGGAAUGUGGCUCUCUCCGGGGAGUGUUAUAGCCCGUUGCGUAAUACCCUGGGCCGGACUGAGGUUCGCGCAUCUGCAUGGAUGCUGGCGUAAUGGUCAUCAGUGAC
rnacentral:rRNA from 1 species